rnacentral:rRNA from 1 species
UGGGGAAUAUUGCACAAUGGGCGCAAGCCUGAUGCAGCCAUGCCGCGUGUAUGAAGAAGGCCUUCGGGUUGUAAAGUACUUUCAGCGGGGAGGAAGGGAGUAAAGUUAAUACCUUUGCUCAUUGACGUUACCCGCAGAAGAAGCACCGGCUAACUCCGUGCCAGCAGCCGCGGUAAUACGGAGGGUGCAAGCGUUAAUCGGAAUUACUGGGCGUAAAGCGCACGCAGGCGGUUUGUUAAGUCAGAUGUGAAAUCCUCGGGCUCAACCUGGGAACUGCAUCUGAUACUGGCAAGCUUGAGUCUCGUAGAGGGGGGUAGAAUUCCAGGUGUAGCGGUGAAAUGCCUAGAGAUCUGGAGGAAUACCGGUGGCGAAGGCGGCCCCCUGGACGAAGACUGACGCUCAGGUGCGAAAGCGUGGGGAGCAAACAGG